UAAAAAUUGUGAUCUUUGGACAGGGUGGG
rnacentral:piRNA from 1 species